UGAGAUGGCUUGGAAAAGUGUCCCAAUCAAUCUGAAUUCACCCUACUCUUUGAAAUCUUGAUUGCAUUACAAUAUGUUGUUUUAAACUCCA